rnacentral:rRNA from 1 species
UCAGGCCUAACACAUGCAAGUCGAGCGGGGUUUUCGGACCUAGCGGCGGACGGGUGAGUAAUGCGUAGGAAGCUACCCGACAGAGGGGGAUACCAGUUGGAAACGACUGUUAAUACCGCAUAAUGUCUACGGACCAAAGUGUGGGACCUUCGGGCCACAUGCUGUCGGAUGCGCCUACGUGGGAUUAGCUAGUUGGUGAGGUAAUGGCUCACCAAGGCGACGAUCCCUAGCUGGUUUGAGAGGAUGAUCAGCCACACUGGAACUGAGACACGGUCCAGACUCCUACGGGAGGCAGCAGUGGGGAAUAUUGGACAAUGGGCGCAAGCCU